CCGGCCGUGUUGACCUGACCUAUUAACCACCCACGCUUACCAUUUUCUUGCCGCACCGCAAGAAGCGUCCUCGGGGGGCACGUCCUUGAUCGGUGGCGCCUGCCUCUCGCCGCCGCUGCUGGUGCCUCUCCCCCACCACGCCGCAGAUUUUUUUUUCUUAUUUUUUCCUCCCGUCGGUUCUCGGAGGUUUCUCGCCGUCUCCUCCCCACGCGGUUCCUGAGGCAUGCGGAGCCAGAUCGUCUGCCACGGGUGCAGGAGCCUUUUACUCUACCCGAGAGGUGCUCCCAGCGUGUGCUGCGCGGUAUGCCACGCAGUCACCACCGUGCCACCUCCAGGAAUGGAGAUGGCUCGACUUAUUUGUGGUGGCUGCCAAACAUUAUUGAUGUAUACUCGCAAUGCAACAACUGUAAGAUGCUCAUGUUGUGACACAGUUAAUCUUGUCAGACCAGGUACUGAUGUAUGUGUAGGAUUAUCUUGCAGAUCCUUAAGCUUUUAAAUGCUAAAAUUUAAUAGUAG